GUGUUUGCUUCUGCAGCACAUACGCUAAACCUGGAACCAAGAAGAUUAGCAUGGAACCUGUAGAAGGAUGCUAUGGAAAUUUAUGAAGUACUCCAGUUACAU
ensembl:snRNA U6 U6 spliceosomal RNA